UAUGUUGCAAACAAAAAGCAUAUUUGCUAUAUUAAGAGGGCUGAUAUAUCAGCUAUGACACAAAAGGCUCUAUGAAAUAGGUAUGUUGGACCCGGGGGCAGUGCCCGGCACCUCCACCAAUUUUAUAAAAAGCAGAAAAAUAUUUUGCUGCGCCGAUGUUUUUGAGCGAAGUUUACUUAAAAGGGUAAACAAGUGUUAAAAAGCAGAGAAAUGUUCUGCAGGCGCAAAAGGAGUUUAUAAGUGCUUUGCUACGCAGAUGAUUGUGAGCGAAGUUUACUUAAAAGGGUAAAUGAGCGAACAAUCAUCAAGUAUGAAAGUUCUUAUAAACUCUCUUAAGGGGGUGAAACAGGUUAGACAAUGCACAAUAAAGAUAGUUUGCUGUGUUCGGCAAGAUACCACCGUUAUCGGUUCAAAAUAAAUGAAUGCAAAUGAUAAUUUUGCACCUGUUGCCGUAGCUGCUUAAGGCGAAAGCAACAAAAGAUGAUUCUUUGAAAGUUGGUUUUUUCAAAGUGGGGAAUUGGCCACCCAGCAACAGAACGGCCUUUUU
rnacentral:tmRNA from 1 species